CGUUCUCGGAUUGUGAGGACGCCAACCUGCCAGAGGAUUCAUGAGACAUUCGAUCUAUUUCUGAGAGGCUUGCAUUCAAAGAAAGGAACCGCUCUCAAUUUCAACUGAUUCAACCAAGAUUGCUGAGAGAAGGGUCUUUGAAUUCUGUUUUCGCGGAUCGACUGAUGGCGAUGAGGAGUUAUUCAUUUUUCUGCAAUUUAGAAGACUGCCAGAAUCGUCUGGCAAGUGGGGAUGGGAUGGAUGUUACGCUUUGUUGAAUCCUCUCAAUUUGAACUAACGCAGUUGAAGUAGCUUUCAAGGAUUUAAUUGGUGAGGGAUUUAAGAAUUUUUGGAACCGUCAGUGACGAAGAUUUGAAGCUAUUGAUGAAUUCCAUGGGAUGCUUGAACUCACUCUGCUUUUGAGUUACAGCUUCGUUUUAGGGGUAGGGGGAUUGAGGUGGAGGAUGUGAAGUUGAACGCGCUGCCCAACACGCCACUGGAAACGAUUCACUUAUACCAGAAUCUGUCGCCGUUUCCUCUCAGAAUGGAGCCUCCUCUCAAGAAGGGCCAAGACGGUCCUUCUUUUCUUGCAUGGAAUGGCUCCCAUUUACGAUCUUCAUGCACUGAGGUCAUCCCUUUAGGAUAAAGAGCAGUCGACUGCAAAUCACUUGUGCAUCAUCCUAAUCUUUGUCUCUUAGAAUUUGCUCUCCAAAACACUGCAUUGCGAUUCUUUGUGACCUGUUUGCUCUAGUUUUUAUUUCGUUUAAUGCUCUUGCCUACACAUGCCGCCGAAAAGUUCACCGAAUAUACUGACCUGGAGGGUAGACAAAGCCUGCCAGGGCUGAUCCUGGUUCGAGCUUGGUCUUAGGUUUCUGCAGCAUGCACUGCCCCAUCGAACCUGCAAGUGAAGAUGAUUGGGAAACGCUAAACCUCAACACCGAGCAUUGUGAAGAGCCCUUCACAACUAGGCUUUUCGAGUGCCUUGCAAACUGGAUCUGGGGAUGGACAUUGAGCGACUUCGCCUUUGCUUCGGAGCGCUCUACGACACAGCUAGUGGUCUCCGAAGAGGUGUGCCCGCCACAAUUGUGUAUGUGAUUGUAGUGAGUGUGAGGUUUUCUUUGGAGAUUUUCUCUUUGUUUUUGCUUCUUGUUUGACUUGCUCAAUGAAUGUGUAUACUAUAUAUAGGGGAAUAUUAGAAAGACCCACCCAUUUAUUGAAUCCUCAUACCCUAUUAUAACCAUCAUUAGAUUACAAAAAAUGCAUAAUCUCCAAAAACCAUUAUUAGAAUCAUUGCCCUCAUCUUAACUCCCUUCAUUUCCAAUAGCUACUCCCUUCAUUCCUAGGUCCCAUUUUGACCUCCUUCAUUCCCUUCCUUUCCAAUCCAUACUCCCUUCAUUCCUAGGUUCCAUUUUGACCUCCUUCAUUCUCAACUCCAGCUCCGCUUCCUCUAUUUCCAAUCUAUGUAUUCAUGUUUUUUUUGUACAUUCAAAGACUAAAACAACUUGAUCUACAAACUCUACAAGCUACUUGGAAUUAGCCAACUUGUAGCUUCAAUACAACUUGAUUUACAAAUUCUACAGGCUACUUGGGAUUAGCCAACUUGUAGCUUCAAUAGAGUAAGUGUGUAUAGUGAAUGACACAUAAUAGCAGCAAACAAGAACCUAUUUGAUUUUUUAUCAAAUGUGAAGGUAACACUAAAGCUAAUUUUAGUUGUCAAAUGUUAUACAAGCACUACAGCUCUAGACAGAGAUAUAGCAAAGUCAAUCUUUGGCAUAACAAGUUUUUGCUAAAAAAUCCAAGGGGCGAUUGCCAAACUUAGAUCUCAUCUAUAUUAUUAAUAUAUUAGUUCAAUAGAAGUGUUUGAAUAUUUAUUUGGACAACAUUACAAGUGUACAAGAAUCAA